AUGGGAGGGGGUGGAGAGGAUAAGAAAAUAUUUUGGGUAAAAUGGGAAAAGGUGUGUAGAUCCGUAGAUGAGGGAGGGUUAAGUAUAAAACAUUUGAAAUGUUUUAACGAAGCUGUCUUAAGUGAAUGGGAUUGGAAUAUUAGAUGUGAAAGAGGGGGUUUAUGGUAUACAACUUUGUCAAAUAGAUAUGGAGAUAACAUCGAUGUCAAUAAAAUUAUUGUGAGAGAGUGUUCCCCCCUGGUGGGCUAA